rnacentral:rRNA from 1 species
UGGGGAAUUUUGGACAAUGGGCGCAAGCCUGAUCCAGCCAUGCCGCGUGCGGGAAGAAGGCCUUCGGGUUGUAAACCGCUUUUGUCAGGGAAGAAAUCUUCUGAGUUAAUACCUCGGGGGGAUGACGGUACCUGAAGAAUAAGCACCGGCUAACUACGUGCCAGCAGCCGCGGUAAUACGUAGGGUGCAAGCGUUAAUCGGAAUUACUGGGCGUAAAGCGUGCGCAGGCGGUUUUGUAAGACAGAGGUGAAAUCCCCGGGCUCAACCUGGGAACUGCCUUUGUGACUGCAAGGCUUGAGUGCGGCAGAGGGGGAUGGAAUUCCGCGUGUAGCAGUGAAAUGCGUAGAUAUGCGGAGGAACACCGAUGGCGAAGGCAAUCCCCUGGGCCUGCACUGACGCUCAUGCACGAAAGCGUGGGGAGCAAACAGGAUUAGAUACCCUGGUAGUCCACGCCCUAAACGAUGUCAACUGGUUGUUGGGAAGGUUCCUUCUCAGUAACGUAGCUAACGCGUGAAGUUGACCGCCUGGGGAGUACGGCCGCAAGGUUGAAACUCAAAUGAAUUGACGGGGUCAUAGCUGUUU